CACCGCGGUUAGACGAUACGCCCAAAUUGACAGCCUUCGGCAUAAAGCGUGGUUAAUUAACAUUUAAACUAAAGUCGAACCCCUUCAAAUCUGUCAAAAGUAUCCGAAGCAGGGAAGCCCAACGACGAAAGUGACUUUAACAACAAUGAAUCCACGAAAGCUAUGAAA
rnacentral:rRNA from 1 species